rnacentral:rRNA from 1 species
AUGAACGCUAGCGGCAGGCCUAACACAUGCAAGUCGAGGGGUUAGCAGGAUUUAAGCUUGCUUAAUUGCUGACGACCGGCGCACGGGUGCGUAACGCGUAUGCAACUACCUUAUACUGGGGUAUAGCCCGGAGAAAUUCGGAUUAAUCCCCCAUAGUACUAUUUGAUCGCAUGGUUGAAUAGUUAAAGCAUUGCGGUAUAAGAUGGGCAUGCGUCCUAUUAGCUAGAUGGUGAGGUAACGGCUCACCAUGGCUACGAUAGGUAGGGGGCCUGAGAGGGUGGUCCCCCACACUGGUACUGAGACACGGACCAGACUCCUACGGGAGGCAGCAGUGAGGAAUAUUGGUCAAUGGGCGCAAGCCUGAACCAGCCAUGCCGCGUGCAGGAAGAAUGCCCUAUGGGUUGUAAACUGCUUUUAUUUGGGAAUAAACCUCUUUACGUGUAGAGAGCUGAAGGUACCAAAUGAAUAAGCACCGGCUAACUCCGUG